UUAAUAAGCUAACAGAGUUCAUUUAACUCCACAAAUGCAUUAUUUAUCCCAGUAUUCCUGCAUAGAGACGCCCUGUUGUUACUGUCAGCAUCAAUAAAUUUACAAAUUGCUCAUUUAAAAGUGUUCAUAAAAUCAGCUGAAAAUAUUUAUAUCCAGUGCAAAACAAUGGCUUUUUACUGCGGCUUUAUGUCGCACUGACAUACAGAAACUACUCCACUGAUAAAUAAGCUCUGGGAAGAGACUGAGUUAAUCCCAGUGCUAAUUGGACUUCAUAUUAAAGCUCAGUUCUUGGUGUUAUUUUGGUCUUAAUUGGGGCAAAUUUGAAAAAUUUUAUUUUUGUCUGUGCUCUGUUUUAAACCUGCAGAGUAGGGCUGUUCAGCAGUCUGCCCAGUUUCCUUAGGAAACUAUUUUUAAGGUCAACUGGUGUAAAAAAAAAAAAAAAAAAAGAAAACCGGACCUCACUGUGUUACAGCAAGGACAAAGCGGUAAACAUGUAAUUUUCUUGUUUGAUCAAUUUGACUUUAUUUUGCUUAUACAUUCAAUAAGCUUGUCUUUUCCAGGGGAUUGAAAUUAUACUUUUUCAUUGGUGUGACAUGAAUAAAUUUAAUUGCUCUUUUACUUGUAUUUAAUUUGUGUUUUUAGUUCUUUUUUUAGCCAGUGUUUGCUGUUAUUUUAAGUGUUUUACAUGUGCAUGCAUGUAAAACACUUAACACUGCAUGUAAACACUGCAUGUAUUAUAAACGCUUGGGUUUAUAAUACAUUUCAACUAAAUAAUUGCUGAAAAAUAACCUUAUAAAUAAAAUAAAGUUUCCUAAUUUGAGUCAUUUGUUGGCAUUGAUCGGUCCAAGAGUGUAAUCUGUGGCUUCUAAUAAUUUUGGCAAAAGAAAGUGUUUUUUUAAAUAGAAAAAGUAAUAAAAACUAUUGCUUCAGCAGCAUUUCCUCUGUUUUCAUGCAAUAUAGACAUGGCUUUCAUUUUCAUCUUGCAGAUGUUGACAUUUUCUAUAAAAAUGUAUACACUCCUAUCAUUAAAAAUAUCUAAAAACCAAAUAGUCUAAUAUGAAAAAACUGAUUUUCUAUACUAGAUGUGGUUAAAAUAAGCUGCAUUUUUACGUAAUUUUAGCAGCUCUAAACAAUUUUCGUUUUAGCUGGACCGAGGGUAAAAUGUGCUCAGUUGUAAAGGUUCACCAUAACUCUUACUUUAGGAAACAUUCAUUUAUUUAUGCAGCCAUGUUUAUUAUUAAAUAUCGUUUGCAAUGGAAAUGCUAAUGGCUAUGUUGCUAUACAUGGAUGUCUAGAAAGUAAACAGACUGUAGUGAAAACACAUGAGUUUUUAAAUUAUUUCCAUAA